UACGUAGGGUGCGAGCGUUAAUCGGAAUUACUAGGCGUAAAGCGUGCGCAGGCGGUGAGCUGUGUCCGAUGUGAAAGCCCCGGGCUUGACCUGGGAAUGGCAUUGGAAACUGGCUCGCUGGAGUGUGGCAGAGGGGGGUGGAAUUCCGCGUGUAGCAGUGAAAUGCGUAGAGAUGCGGAGGAACACCGAUGGCGAAGGCAGCCCCCUGGGCUAACACUGACGCUCAGGCACGAAAGCGUGGGGAGCAAACAGG
rnacentral:rRNA from 1 species